rnacentral:SRP_RNA from 2 species
GCUGGGCGUGGUGGUGCACGCCUGUAGUCCCAGCUACUUGGGAGGCUGAGGCAGGAGACUCGCUUGAACCCGGGAGGCGGAGGUUGCAGUGAGCUGAGAUCGUGCCACUGCACUCCAGCCUGAGUGACAGAGAGAGACUCUGUCUCAA